CUGCAGUUCGAGGACUGCACUGCGUCGCACCACACUAUAUCUACGAGACCAACAGAACAUACCAGUUACCUCAAACCUUGCGGUUUUACUUACCCGAAUGGCAUACGCCACCAGGGCUACCAGCUAAGGCUACGAACGUGUGGACGACUGCCACCACGGACCGGAAAACAAACAAAGGCUUGCCAGGACAAUCCCUAAGGUCCAACCUACCCAGCAGGAGGCUUGCUUUAAUCCCAUCCAGCAUCCGGAAGUAAACGGGAAAUGUUGCACACUGUAGCACAGACUUAAAAAUAAACGACUGAGCAAGAUGAGAAAUAAUGAACUGAGCUGGAGGCAGAAACAAACGACAGACCAGCAGAGCAGAAAGAAAUGACUGACCACCAAAUUGGAUCUAAACAACUGACUACAGAGGAGGACAUAGAGGUCACCACAUAAAAAGAAGGAUGGAUCAUUAGAACAGGGUCCACCAGCCCAGAAUCUAAUAAAACAGAGAAAUAUUGAGGGCAGUUACUGCUUCUGCUAGA